AUUAUAUGCCUUACACAACAGAUCAUGUGCCUUAAACUGUGUCUAAGGAGUUACCACAAAGAAUAUGCUCAUCUUUAGCCUUAGGGUGUGUUGACUGUGAAAUUAAUUUUAAGGAUUUGGAUUUAAGCUUUGCUUAAAGUUUCUAUGUAUCUUUUCUUGAAAAUGGAGAUGUAAUUCAUAAUUGUGAUGGGAGAAUGUUUAAUUUUAUUUUGGAUGGAAGAUUGAAGCUUUAAAAGAAAAUAAGAAGAAAUGAAAAGGAAAGAAGAAGAAGAUGAAAAAGAAGAGAGGGGUAGAGAUCGUUACCUAUAGCUUUUCCCUCAAUUUCUUAGUAAUCAAAUUACUAAGCAAAGUUGAGUCACUAAAUCUGCAGAAAAAUCUGAAAAUCUGUAAAAUGACCAUAUAAACAGUAAAAUUUGCAAGGUUAUAACUCUCUCUAGAAAACUCUAAUUUAGGUGAUUCUUGAACCGAUAGAAACUUAAAAUAUAGUACAAUAUUUCGUAUGAACAACUUGAAGCCUAAUUACGAACUUAACCCAACCAAAUUGCUGAGUAAAGUUGAGUUAAUAAAUCUAUCAGAGCAGUGAACACUAACGUAAAUAGUAAAUUUUAAACAGCCAUAACUCUCUAUAGAACUCUUCGAUUUAGGUGAUUCUUGAACCAAUGAAAAUUUAAAAUAUAGUAGAAAAUUUCAUAUGAAGAACUUGGAGCCAAAUUAUGAACUUAACCCAAU
rnacentral:misc_RNA from 1 species